GGGUCAUUAGCUCAAUUGGUAGAGCAUCCGACUCUUAAUCGGCAGGUUGAAGGGUCCAGUCCUUCAUGACCCACCA
rnacentral:tRNA from 1 species